rnacentral:rRNA from 1 species
GACGAACGCUGGCGGCGUGCUUAACACAUGCAAGUCGAACGGAAAGGCCCUGCUUUUGUGGGGUGCUCGAGUGGCGAACGGGUGAGUAACACGUGAGUAACCUGCCCUUGACUUUGGGAUAACUUCAGGAAACUGGGGCUAAUACCGGAUAGGAGCUCCUGCUGCAUGGUGGGGGUUGGAAAGUUUCGGCGGUUGGGGAUGGACUCGCGGCUUAUCAGCUUGUUGGUGGGGUAGUGGCUUACCAAGGCUUUGACGGGUAGCCGGCCUGAGAGGGUGACCGGCCACAUUGGGACUGAGAUACGGCCCAGACUCCUACGGGAGGCAGCAGUGGGGAAUAUUGCACAAUGGGCGGAAGCCUGAUGCAGCAACGCCGCGUGCGGGAUGACGGCCUUCGGGUUGUAAACCGCUUUCGCCUGUGACGAAGCGUGAGUGACGGUAAUGGGUAAAGAAGCACCGGCUAACUACGUGCCAGCAGCCGCGGUGAUACGUAGGGUGCGAGCGUUGUCCGGAUUUAUUGGGCGUAAAGGGCUCGUAGGUGGUUGAUCGCGUCGGAAGUGUAAUCUUGGGGCUUUAACCCUGAGCGUGCUUUCGAUACGGGUUGACUUGAGGAAGGUAGGGGAGAAUGGAAUUCCUGGUGGAGCGGUGGAAUGCGCAAAUAUCAGGAGGAACACCAGUGGCGAAGGCGGUUCUCUGGGCCUUUCCUGACGCUGAGGAGCGAAAGCGUGGGGAGCGAACAGGCUUAGAUACCCUGGUAGUCCACGCUGUAAACGGUGGGUACUAGGUGUGGGGUCCAUUCCACGGGUUCCGUGCCGUAGCUAACGCUCUAAGUACCCCGCCUGGGGAGUACGGCCGCAAGGCUAAAACUCAAAGGAAUUGACGGGGCCCCGCACAAGCGGCGGAGCAUGCGGAUUAAUUCGAUGCAACGCGUAGAACCUUACCUGGGUUUGACAUGGAUCGGGAGUGCUCAGAGAUGGGUGUGCCUCUUUUGGGGUCGGUUCACAGGUGGUGCAUGGCUGUCGUCAGCUCGUGUCGUGAGAUGUUGGGUUAAGUCCCGCAACGAGCGCAACCCUUGUUCACUGUUGCCAGCACGUUAUGGUGGGGACUCAGUGGAGACCGCCGGGGUCAACUCGGAGGAAGGUGGGGAUGACGUCAAGUCAUCAUGCCCCUUAUGUCCGGGGCUUCACGCAUGCUACAAUGGCUGGUACAGAGAGUGGCGAGCCUGUGAGGGUGAGCGAAUCUCGGAAAGCCGGUCUCAGUUCGGAUUGGAGUCUGCAACUCGACCUCAUGAAGUCGGAGUCGCUAGUAAUCGCAGAUCAGCAACGCUGCGGUGAAUACGUUCCCGGG